AUUGAACGCUGGCGGCAUGCCUUACACAUGCAAGUCGAACGGCAGCGCGGGAGCAAUCCUGGCGGCGAGUGGCGAACGGGUGAGUAACAUAUCGGAACGUGCCCUGGAGUGGGGGAUAACUAGUCGAAAGAUUAGCUAAUACCGCAUACGAUCUACGGAUGAAAGUGGGGGAUCGCAAGACCUCAUGCUCGUGGAGCGGCCGAUAUCUGAUUAGCAGUUGGUAGGGUAAAAGCCUACCAAGGCGACGAUCAGUAGCUGGUCUGAGAGGACGACCAGCCACACUGGGACUGAGACACGGCCCAGACUCCUACGGGAGGCAGCAGGUGGGAAUUUUGGACAAUGGCGCCAAGCCUGAUCCAGCCAUGCCGCGUGCGGGAAGAAGGA
rnacentral:rRNA from 1 species